UGUCCUCUCUUCUUUUCUCAGGUGGUCCAUAUUAGUGAACAUAUUGUUUUUUGUUUUCUCUUUAUAAGAUCUGCAUUUGCUGUCCCAGCAGUGUCUAACUUGAUGUCCUCUGCAAAUUUAACAAAUAUGUCGUCUUUUCCAUCAUGUGGUCAACCCCGGGAUCACCACCGAACAUCCUUCUCGACUUCUCCAAUCCAUGGAUCUUGAUCUCUGUUGUCCAUUCCACCAAAUGUCCUCAAACCUGGCAGAAAAGGGAAAAGGCUAAUGGAUUGAGGAUCACUUGGUAUCCUCCUUGUGGAAGCCAUGUUCCCUGCGUGCCUCCCUCUCUCUCAAGCGUGAUCCCGUGCCCUCCUCAUGUCGUAUCCUGUUCAACUACCACAGAAUCUCAAAGUCUUCAGAGCUGGAGCAGCUCCCUAAUUUUUUCCUGUCAUUUCUCAUCGGAAGGUUUUGUUCUCUUGCUCCAGGGCUGCAUCACUGUGGGCACGCCAAGCUUCCCUGGUUACCUGAGCUGCUCCUGCGGUGUCCCCCGCAUCGGCUUCGCCAGGGUGCACUGGAACCCCGAGUCGCGGUCUGCGCCAUGCCGAAGAAGGACCUGCUCCGGAGCUCUGGCCGGGGCCCCUCACAGCUGCAAGAGGGUGACGCCGCAGAAGACCCGGGGUGGGACGGGUAGAGAGGACGCCAAGGACCGGGGACGGGGAGUUAGGAGUCCAUCCUGUGCCCGCUGGUCGUCCGCGGGGCGAGGGCAGCCGUGGCCCCUGCCGCGGGCACCCAGCUUGGGCUGCUCCCAGCGAUUAAUCUGGGGGGGGGGGUGGAGAGAACCAAGCCGAGAUGUGGUGGCAUUUUACCUGAGUGGAGCUGAAGAUGGAUAA
rnacentral:lncRNA from 1 species